CCCAUCUCAGGGUCGCCCCUGGAGAGUGUCCAGUACUCUACCAGUCUUGACUAUGGGAGGGAGAGUCAAGCAGAGUCCUACCCAUUUCAUUCCUAGCUUGGCCCGUGGCUAGCGAGUGGAAGACAAUCUGCUACAAGU